rnacentral:rRNA from 1 species
UACGUAGGGGGCAAGCGUUGUCCGGAUUUAUUGGGCGUAAAGAGCGUGUAGGCGGCCAAGCAGGUCCGCUGUGAAAACUCGAGGCUCAACCUCGAGACGUCGGUGGAGACCGUUUGGCUAGAGUCCGGAAGAGGAGAGUGGAAGUUCCCGGUGUGAGCGGUGAAAUGCGGCAGAUAUCGGGGAAAGAACACCCGUGGCGAAGGCGGCUCUCGUGGGACGGUACUGA